UACGUAGGGGGCAAGCGUUGUUCGGAAUUACUGGGCGUAAAGGGCGCGUAGGCGGCUCGGCAAGUCAGGUGUGAAAGCCCUGGGCUCAACCCGGGAACUGCUUUUGAAACUGCCGAGCUAGAGUGCGGAAGGGGCAACUGGAAUUCCCAGUGUAGCGGUGAAAUGCGUAGAUAUUGGGAAGAACACCGGAGGCGAAGGCGGGUUGCUGGGCCGACACUGACGCUGAUGCGCGAAAGCCUGGGGAGCGAACGGG
rnacentral:rRNA from 1 species